AUUGAACGCUGGCGGCAGGCCUAACACAUGCAAGUCGAGCGGAUGAAGGGAGCUUGCUCCUGGAUUCAGCGGCGGACGGGUGAGUAAUGCCUAGGAAUCUGCCUGGUAGUGGGGGAUAACGUCCGGAAACGGGCGCUAAUACCGCAUACGUCCUGAGGGAGAAAGUGGGGGAUCUUCGGACCUCACGCUAUCAGAUGAGCCUAGGUCGGAUUAGCUAGUUGGUGGGGUAAAGGCCUACCAAGGCGACGAUCCGUAACUGGUCUGAGAGGAUGAUCAGUCACACUGGGACUGGAAGGCGGUCCUGGGUCCGACGGGAGGCAGAGAUGGGGAAGGUUGGAAGAUGGGGGGAAGCCUGAACCAGCCGAGCCAGGUGGGUGAAGAAAGGCUUCGGGUUGGAAAACACCUUAAGUUUGGAGGAAGGGCAGUAAGUUAAUACCUUGCUGUUUUGACGGUACCAACAGAAUAAGCACCGGCUAACUUCGUG
rnacentral:rRNA from 1 species